rnacentral:rRNA from 1 species
AGUGAACGCUGGCGGUAGGCCUAACACAUGCAAGUCGAACGGCAGCACAGUAAGAGCUUGCUCUUACGGGUGGCGAGUGGCGGACGGGUGAGGAAUACAUCGGAAUCUACUUUUUCGUGGGGGAUAACGUAGGGAAACUUACGCUAAUACCGCAUACGACCUACGGGUGAAAGCAGGGGAUCUUCGGACCUUGCGCGAUUGAAUGAGCCGAUGUCGGAUUAGCCAGUUGGCGGGGUAAAGGCCCACCAAGGCGACGAUCCGUAGCUGGUCUGAGAGGAUGAUCAGCCACACUGGAACUGAGACACGGUCCAGACUCCUACGGGAGGCAGCAGUGGGGAAUAUUGGACAAUGGGCGCAAGCCUGAUCCAGCCAUACCGCGUGGGUGAAGAAGGCCUUCGGGUUGUAAAGCCCCUUUGUUGGGAAAGAAAAGCAGCAGGUUAAUACCCCGCUGUUCUGACGGUACCCAAAGAAUAAGCACCGGCUAACUUCGUG